UGGGGAAUAUUGCACAAUGGGCGAAAGCCUGAUGCAGCAACGCCGCGUGAGUGAUGAAGGCCUUCGGGUUGUAAAGCUCUGUCUUCUGGGACGAUAAUGACGGUACCAGAGGAGGAAGCCACGGCUAACUACGUGCCAGCAGCCGCGGUAAUACGUAGGUGGCAAGCGUUGUCCGGAUUUACUGGGCGUAAAGGAUGCGUAGGCGGAUACUUAAGUCAGAUGUGAAAAUCCCGGGCUUAACUUGGGAACUGCAUUUGAAACUGGGUAUCUAGAGUGCGGGAGAGGAAAGUGGAAUUCCUAGUGUAGCGGUGAAAUGCGUAGAGAUUAGGAAGGACACCAGUGGCGAAGGCGACUUUCUGGACCGUAACUGACGCUGAGGCAUGAAAGCGUGGGGAGCAAACA
rnacentral:rRNA from 1 species